rnacentral:lncRNA from 1 species
CUGGAUGCCAGUCUUGAAUGACAAUUCCUGGAUGAAUUCUAGGUUUUCACCCCUUGACCCUUAUUGGUAAAGGACGUGGACAAUAUAUUAUUGUAAGUGGGCUCCAGCCUCUGUCUAGGCCAUCUGGAUUAUCCUGUGCUUGCAGCUGUAAUGUAGACAUGACACAGUUAAUCGAGGCAGUCUGAGGUUUCCAGUCAGGUGUCCCAACUCAGAGCUCUGCACCAGUACAGCUCCUGCAGAGAUGCCACCAGCACUGGAUGGAGCAGUGUGGUGUUUCCAGACUUGGGAUCAGAUUGAUCUGUGUAUGAUAUGAACAAUUUACAGAAGGUCAACACACCCUGCUAAGUGCACUGGAAUGACAAAGCUGAAUUUCACAGAAAGCCAUUGAGCAGGCACACUAGAAUGAGGAGGUGGAAGGAAUAGCAUAAGAAGACAAAGUAGAAAAAUCACAGAAGGUAAGAGAAAUGGAAGAAAAGAACACAAAAUGAAAUUUAAAAAGCGAUCUGAACAGAAUUUUUGGCUUUAAGCACUUCUCAGCUUUGGGAGUGACUUGACUUCUCUUUUUCUGAAGCACUUAAGCACCUUUCU